UACGGUAGGGUGCAAGCGUUGUCCGGAAUUAUUGGGCGUAAAGAGCUCGUAGGCGGUUCGUCGCGUCGGCUGUGAAAUCCCCGAGGCUCAACCUCGGGUCUGCAGUCGAUACGGGCGGACUGGAGUUCGGCAGGGGAGACUGGAAUUCCUGGUGUAGCGGUGAAAUGCGCAGAUAUCAGGAGGAACACCGGUGGCGAAGGCGGGUCUCUGGGCCGAUACUGACGCUGAGGAGCGAAAGCGUGGGGAGCGAACAGG
rnacentral:rRNA from 1 species